AACGCGAAGAACCUUACCAGGGCUUGACAUGCAGGGUGAAACCGGUGAAAGCCGGUGCUCCUUCGGGAGCCUGCACAGGUGCUGCAUGGCUGUCGUCAGCUCGUGCCGUGAGGUGUUGCCUUAAGUCCCGCAACGAGCGCAACCCUCGUCCCAUGUUGCCAGCGGGUAGUGCCGGGGACUCAUGGGAGACUGCCGGGGUCAACUCGGAGGAAGGUGGGGAUGACGUCAAGUCCUCAUGGCCUUUAUGCCCAGGACUACACGCGUGCUACAAUGGGCGGUACAAAGGGUUGCGAUGGUGCGAGCCGGAGCUAAUCCCAAAAAACCGUCCUCAGUACGGAUUGCAUUCUGCAACUCGACUGCAUGAAGCUGGAAUCGCUAGUAAUCCCAGAUCAGCAUGCUGGGGUGAAUACGUUCCCGGGCCUUGUACACACCG
rnacentral:rRNA from 1 species